UACGAAGGGGGCUAGCGUUGCUCGGAAUCACUGGGCGUAAAGGGUGCGUAGGCGGGUAUUUAAGUCAGUGGUGAAAUCUCCGGGCUCAACCCGGAAACUGCCAUUGAUACUAUUUAUCUUGAAUUCUGUUGAGGUAGGCGGAAUAUAUCAUGUAGCGGUGAAAUGCUUAGAUAUGAUAUAGAACACCGAUUGCGAAGGCAGCUUACUAAACAGACAUUGACGCUGAGGCACGAAAGCGUGGGGAUCAAACAGG
rnacentral:rRNA from 1 species